GGAACCGCUGACGUGCCAUAAGCUGGAGGAGUGUGAUUUUUAAAGAUGAUUUGACCGCAGUGGGAAAUACGUACAGCACCAGUUGCAACACUGUUGUAAUGGCCCAGGCAGGCCUCAGACCCAGUGAGGGCGUGAGGGCUUAAACCAGAACAGUGAUACCGGGGAUGGAGAAAUAAAGUCAAAUUUAAGCCCACCCAGGCCCAGCUGGAUUUCCAUGCCCCAAUUUACUGUCAUGGCCAGAGCUCCUGAGCAUGCGCUGAAGGAAGAGCUGGACUAACCAACGCUCUCUUGGGGCUCAAGGUAAUGUGUGUCCCAGAAGUGUACUGAAACUUGCUGUGAGAGAUAAUAGACUUCGUGUAUAUUAAGCGUUAUAUCAGAUCCUUUGGGAAUCAGUGUUGAACACCAGCCUAAAUGUACCUGGAGUUACUGUCUUUUUAAGAAAUCUGAAGAAUGUUGUUCCUUCUGCAGGAACCUUCAUGCUGAGAUGACCCUAUAUUGUUAGUAUGUCACAGCGAGAUGCCUUAAUGAAGAUAGUCAGAGUGCAGAUAACUGCCAGCAUUACGUUGAUAUAAACACAGCAAAUACAAAGGGAAUGAUCAGAUCACAAGGAAGCCAGAUUCUGUGGGUAGAUUUCUGGGAGGAAGGAACAAGAAGACAAAGGGAGGAGAAGCAAAAAGAAAAUGGACUUAGCAGUGAGAUGGACGUGUCUCCAUCAUCUUGCCGCUCAAAGCAACACCCAUCAUUCAAAAACCAUCCUUAAGUUGGUGAAAUAUAUAUAUAUUAAAACAGAUCUAAGUUUAAAGCGGAGAUCUCAAACCUUAGCAAUAAAACAAAAGAAUAUGAAUAGAGGUAGGUCUAAACUUCAGGAGUUACAGUGGGGAGAUAUGAAAUAUGGGGGAAAUUAAGUAUGUUUGAGUUUAGACGGUAAAGUGUUUUGUUUGCUAAAAGUCCAAAUGUACAUGUUGUCCCAAGAGGCACGGAGCUUAGAUAAUAGGACAUUCAUAUAAUUCAACAAAUUCAUUCCUGAGUGCCAACUUUAAUGAAAAUGUCAGUGUUGUUGUUGCUGUUAUUGCUGGCAUUUCUUAUAUGGGAGAGUUGUACAACUAUGUAAUACAGGCCAAAGUGGUGAAUUUACUAUAUUCAGGGAUCAAUACAUUGAGGCUGUGAUUUGAUGGGGUGGAUGAAAAUGUGCUUUGUAGAAGGACAAAUGCCUCAUCGCUCCCUAUAAUUAA